GCUGGGCAUGGUGGCGUGUGCCUGUACUCCCAGCUACUUAGGAAGCUGAGGCAGGAGGACUGCUUGGGCCUGGGAGUUCGAGGCUGCUGUGACCCCUAUUCACUCUACUGCACUCUAGCCUAGGUGACAGAGUGAGACCCUGUCUCAA
rnacentral:SRP_RNA from 1 species